rnacentral:misc_RNA from 1 species
AAAGUCGUAACAAGGUUUCCGUAGGUGAACCUGCGGAAGGAUCACUAGUGAUUAAAUCGAGAGCGUCUUCAUUGACCUCUCACCCUUCACAUCCACAUACACCUGUGAACCGUUUGGCUUUUCUUUAACAGAGCGCAAGCUCGACGAGAGAAAAGUCAUCUUUUUAUACAUACCCCAGUCUUAUGAAUGUAACAGUUUUAAUAAACAAAAUAAAACUUUUAACAACGGAUCUCUUGGUUCUC